AUUGAACGCUGGCGGCAGGCCUAACACAUGCAAGUCGAGCGGUUGACGGGAGCUUGCUCCCUGAUUCAGCGGCGGACGGGUGAGUAAUGCCUAGGAAUCUGCCUAUUAGUGGGGGACAACGUUUCGAAAGGAACGCUAAUACCGCAUACGUCCUACGGGAGAAAGCAGGGGACCUUCGGGCCUUGCGCUAAUAGAUGAGCCUAGGUCGGAUUAGCUUGUUGGUGAGGUAAUGGCUCACCAAGGCGACGAUCCGUAACUGGUCUGAGAGGAUGAGCAGUAACACUGGAACUGAGACACGGUCCAGCCUCCUACGGGAGGCAGCAGUGGGGAAUAUUGGACAAUGGGCGAAAGCCUGAUCCAGCCAUGCCGCGUGUGUGAAGAAGGUCUUCGGAUUGUAAAGCACUUUAAGUUGGGAGGAGGCUCUUUUGGUUAAUACCCAAGAUGAGUGGACGUUACUCGUAGAAUAAGCACCGGCUAACUCUGUGCCAGCCGCCGCGGUAA
rnacentral:rRNA from 1 species